rnacentral:ncRNA from 18 species
GUCGUGUAUUCAGAAUUGCUUAGGCAAUACCAACCGAGUGUAGUACCACGGUGGUAAAAUAAUACGGGGAAAAAGUGAGAGACAAUGAGUGACUAUUGU